CUUUGUCUUAGUUGUGCACUGGUUUGAUGGCUCUUGCUUCUCAUUUAUAGGCAGGACAAGAAGGCUCUCGUGAGGCCUCUUUACGUGGUGGGUCUGAUUUAGAGAAUCAUCGAUGAGGUUGUCCUCAGAUUAAAAUUGCCUUCUCAUGCCUCUUGCUCUGUGUUACAAAUUUUAGAAGGGUAUAGUAUUACAUAUACUGGAUUUGGACUGCAUCUAACUCUUGUUCUUGCCGGUUUACUCUGUGAGUUGACUUAACUCCUUUUGAUUAAUAGCACACUCAUGUUCCCCAAAAAAGUGGAGUAAUAUGUGCAUGUAGGUUUUGGUUAAUUAUUUUCUGUGUGGGCAUAUUUUAUGGAAAUUACUUUUGAAGUGAAGGCAAACACAUGCAAUUUUGUUAACUGAAAUGCAAAAUAAAUGAAGCAAACAAUAAAACGUGGUGUAUUUUCAUAACUGUUUGUUGAAUAAGUGUAUGCUUAUUUCCUUUUUACUUGAUUUGAAAUAUUUUAGUAGUCAUUUUCUCAUGGAUAGAUAUCUGUACUUCAUUUAAAUAAUUAGUCCAAAGGCAUGACGAGCAGGUAUUGUUACGUUUCUCAAAAAUAGAAAGAGAAAACAUAAUUAUUCUGGGUUCCAUUUUCUAUAAUUCCAUACAAUAAUUUCAUGAUCUAAGCUUUAGCAUCAAUUUCUUUGACAAAACAAACGGCAAGUUUUAAGUCUGAACUGGACUGUUGCCGGUGCAUGUUUCUUACAUGAACUUUCUUGGGAACAUAUAAUCUUGUACAUGCAGAUACUGCAGUUUACGCAUGCUGAUAAGGCCCAUUUCAAUCUUUUUGUUUCUACAUGGUUCUCGUGCAUUUACAAAUGGAUCUUUAGAGAUCUUUAUGAAUCAGAAAAACCCCGAUACUGUGUAUUUUUUAUGGAAGAUCCAAAAGUAUGUUCUUAUUUUGGUUAUUUCUUACUACUCCCUCCGUUCCAAAUUACUUGUCGCAGAAAUGGAUGUAUCUAGAACUAAAUUACAUCUAGAUACAUCCAUACCUGCGACAAGUAAUUCGGAACGGAGGGAGUAGAUAAUAAGCUAUGAAGCAUGCCUGUUGAGAAUUGUUUUGCCGCUACUUGCUUUAGGGACAUAUAUUCGUAGACUCACAAGCCACAUAUGCUAGUCCACGAUCUUUACGCAAAUCAGGCCACAUAUGUAGGUUGACAUAAUCUUCUCUCAAUUCUUCUGUAUUUUAUUUCUCCUGGAUGUGAAAAGCAUGUUUCCUUUCUGUCAGCCAUUAUCAUUGGCACAGGGGACUUUAUCUUUUCCUUUCUUUUCAGCCAUUAUCCCACGCAUAGCAAAAUAUCUCAGACUAUACACAACUCCAAUACAAAGUGUAUGCGAUUGCACGACCUGCCACUCAUACGCCAUAAGAGCAAGCUUUUGUACAUCUAUAUCGACUACUAGGGUGUGCUUUGUACUGGAUAUGCACUAUACUGAUGCUGUUUCCCUUUUCACUAAAUGCUUGGGUAUUUCUUUUGGCGGAUUUGGUUCAUGUAGGUCAUACAACAUAAGCCAUCUGUGCUAUAUCCAGACACCCUUGUUGAUUGAAUCUGACCAAAAUGUAACUAGAUACUGGAUCUUGUGUAAGAUCCCAAUUUCUACUCAUUUGCUGACUUCUGUAUACUACAUCCGCCUUCGUGGAGACAGUAGCUAAGAAAAGUCAAGGCAGGUAUGUGGACAGUAGGGUCCUGAGCAGUAUUUUAUCCUCAUGGCCUAACUUCUCCAUUGCUAUGGAAUUAGUUGCUUUUUGUAUGUUUCUGGAGGAUCCCUCAGCACAAAAAGAUAAAUACAAUUUUUCCAUGACCAGGAGCAAGCCAGGAAGGCAUGGAAGCAGCACUGAUGUGGAGGCCACCAACCUGCCAAUCUUGCAGUCCACUUUGUGGCCUCUCUACACCUUUUUUAUCUUGGGCAUCUUUACUUCUGAAGGCCCCCCCAUACACUGCAGUUGUUUUCGCAUCCGAGCUCUUCUCGCUUGCUUCUUUAUUGGAACACUGAUCGGUCAUCAUCCGUGUGGUGACAAUUAGUUCCUGUUCCUAUACCCAUUGAAUGCAUCACAAGUCAGGUCCUUUUCUCAUAUAUGUGUAUCUCAAAAUCCUUUCAAUUAUUUUUUAUGCUCCUUGGCCUUUGGGAAGAAGGCUAAAAUAUUUUCUGAAAAUAAAGGCUUGGGAUCACAUUAUGUUUCUUCUCUCCUUUUUGUUUCUUUUAUACAUUUUGGCUAUAACCUAGAAGUUCACCCUACAUAUUUUGUUUUUCAAGAAAAAGCCUUGAAAUGGCUGGGAAGAAGUGUGUGUUCUUUUCUUUGCUCUGCACAAGUUUUCCAUCAAUUCUUGUGUUUUUCGGUGUCAACCUGAACCAUGUGGCACUACUGCAGUCUAACAAAAGAAAAGAAAAAAUAAGUCUUACUGCUACGCUUAACAAAUAAUUGGUAAAAUGAAAAUAAUGGUUUUGUAUAUAGCUCAUGACUCGGUAUGUGAAUUCUUGCAGGAUGGUGAGAUUGAUCAGGAAGUGGGUAGCAGGGGUUAUUGCCUUUGUUGCCGGGAGGACUCUCUUGCUAUGAUGAUGGUGACCACCGCAAACCACUGAGUCGACGGAUCGUCAAGUUCGUUUCAAAGAUUAUUAUGGUGACAAGCAAUAGGGAACCAAAGGCCACCACCCAAUUCCGUGUGAUUUGGUGUCACCCCGCUCAAAGUUGGAGCAAAAGCAGCGUCCACUGGAUGUUGGAAAAUUAAGGAUAUAUGCUUUUUGGCCUGUGCCGUGAGGUUUAAUAACACAUGAUGGGAUUAUGGAUUGACGCGACCGGGGGGCACCUGUCAUGUCAUAGGGCUUAGUGGAUGUCAUCGUAUCGUCGACGUACGCCACCAUUAGCGGGAAGGGAGAAGAUUGCCUUGUGGCCAUGAUCUUGACAUGUGGAUCGAUACUACCGGUACCAGUACCAGAGAACAGUAAGCAGUCGGUCCAGAUGGUCAUUUGGCCCGCAAAAUAUGUGCCAUCAGCAAGCCCAUGCUAUAGUUCUUUUUUUAUGGUGAACAGUGGAGGAGCAUGUGCCCCAGAGUUACUGUACUUAUCACCGACCAGAUGCCAGCAUUGUUGUUUUUUCUUUUUACUCUUCUUAUAAAUCAAAUUUCUAUUUUUUUUUUGCAAAUUCAAUCUUGUAUGCUCAAGAAGUUUAGGGAUUACAAUCCACUGUCUCUGUAACUAC